AUAUAUAUAUAUAUAUCCCCAAAUCUCAAAUAGCUCUCCAAAUUUCACCCAAAAUGCUUUGCUUGCUUUACUUUAAAAAAAGAUUCUUGUGGAGGAUGGUCGAUUAAGAGACUAUAUCAUGAAGAGUAUUGGAAAGAAAUGGAAAGAUACCGGAUUUAAUCUCCAUCAUCGCUUUUAUAAAGAGCCAUUGACGUUGGAGGAAAAUGUUGCAAGGCGUCCCAGUGGAAUUGAUCCUGACCAGUGGAUCUGGUUUCUUCAAUACAGCAAGGAUAAGAAAACUCAGGAGCGUAAACGUAGUAGAGGAGAGUUGUGGACUUUGACGCACAAACGGAAAGACAAGACCUAUAUGAAUGCGGCAACCAAGAUUAUUGGUGAGGAAAUAGAGAGGAUGGCUCGUCAAAGAAAAUUUCAGAAGUUGAUUCACUUGCACAAGUGCUAGGGAAAGAGCAUGCUGGUCGAGUUCGAGGAGUGGAUUAUGGGCCGACACCUACUCAAGUAUUUGCCAAAACAGCCCAUCAAUUUAAUGGUGUAUCUUCAACACAAGCUUGUCGAAAUCAUAAAAUGGAGGAGAUGAAGAUGCAUGAGCUUCAAUCAGUGGUGGAAAGUGAGAGAUAUAGAAGGCGAGCUCUUGAGAACUUUCUAACAAGAUAUUUCGUCCAACAAGGAGUGGAAUUGUUGGCUGAUAUGGGUAGUGCUGCGACGGCUUUAAACAGGUCUUCUCCAUCCAAAUGUUGAAACCCACGCGAUGCUAAUCAUGCUGUUCAACGUGGAUUUUGCUUGUGAUGGAUUUCAAUUCUAAUUUUGUUAGCUGUGAACUUUGUUUUUUCUGGAACCGUGGAUUUUGCUUGUGAGAGAUUUCAGUUGCUUAUUUUGUUAGUAGUGAAUUUUGUUUUCCCGGAACCAUCAAUACAAAUCAAUACAUUUGUUGAAAGUUUGAAUAUUAU